CGCACGGGUGAGUAACACGUGAGUGACCUGCCUUUUAGACUGGAACAACUUACCGAAAGGUGAGCUAAUGCCGGAUGAGUUAUAUAAGUGCAUGUUUAUAUAGGAAAAGUUGGGGAGACCUGACGCUGUAAGAUGGACUCGCGUCCCAUUAGCUAGUUGGUAGGGUAAUGGCCUACCAAGGCGACGAUGGGUAGCCGGCCUGAGAGGGUGGCCGGCCACACUGGGACUGAGACACGGCCCAGACUCCUACGGGAGGCAGCAG
rnacentral:rRNA from 1 species